rnacentral:tRNA from 3 species
GGAGGGGUGCCGGAGUGGAUGAUCGGGGCGGUCUCGAAAACCGCUAUCCCGCUAAAAGCGGGAUCGUGGGUUCGAAUCCCACCCCCUCCG